rnacentral:rRNA from 1 species
UGGGGAAUAUUGCACAAUGGGGGAAACCCUGAUGCAGCGACGCCGCGUGAGGGAAGACGGUUUUCGGAUUGUAAACCUCUGUCUCUGGUGAAGAUAAUGACGGUAACCAGAGAGGAAGCAGUGGCUAACUCUGUGCCAGCAGCCGCGGUAAUACAGAGACUGCAAGCGUUACUCGGAUUCACUGGGCGUAAAGGGAGCGCAGGCGGAAUCGUGUGUCGGAUGUGAAACCCGGGGGCUCAACUCCCGGACUGCGUCUGAAACUGCGAUUCUAGGGACUCGGAGGGGCCAGUGGAAUUCUUGGUGGAGCAGUGAAAUGCGUAGAUAUCAAGAGGAACACCAACGGCGAAGGCAGCUGGCUGGACGAGAUCCGACGCUCAGGCUCGAAAGUAUGGGGAGCAAAAA